rnacentral:lncRNA from 1 species
AACAAUCAGUGCCUUGGUGGGUAGCCAGCUUAAACUGCGACGCACACGAUGAACCCUGAGCGAGCAACCUCCUGCAGGCAAGCGAGACAAGAAUGAGAAGGGUGAGGCGGGCCCUUUCGUUUUUAAGACCUACGCCGAGGUGCACAAAGAGGUGGUGCAAGCGGCGUCAGCACUCCGUGCCUUGGGCGUUGAGCCUAGCCAGCGGGUCGGAGUAUUCGGCGCCAACUGCCCAGAGUGGAUGGUUGCAAUGCAGGUAUGCAUGGCGGACGUUAUCCGGCGAAGAUAACCGUGCUUGUCGGAUAUCUUACUACCUUCUCCUGACAGACGGCAGCAGUCCCAAAGCUGCCGGAAACUCGCUUCUUCGCUGAGCGACAUGCGCCCUUUGUGAUCGUUCCAUGGAUUAAACGAAAUUAAUGUACACAACUAAACCGCAUAUUAUGAUGUCAAGAUCUUGCCUUGUUAUGGAGGUUCUCCAUCGGAUCGGUGUGGUAGCCCUUGG